UUUCCGUAGGUGAACCCGCGGAAGGAUCAUUAAAGAGAUCAUGCCCUCACGGGUAGACCUCCCACCCCUUGUUUACAAUACCUUUGUUGCUUUGGCGGGCCCGUUUGGCCCCGCGCUGAACAACCGGCCCCGGCUGGUCAGUGCCCGCCAGAGAACCGAAAACUCUGAAUUAAAUGUCGUCUGAGUACUAUGUAAUAGUUAAAACUUUCAACAACGGAUCUCUUGGUUCUG
rnacentral:misc_RNA from 1 species